rnacentral:rRNA from 1 species
UCUUCUGAUUUAGCGGCGGACGGGUGAGUAACACGUGGGCAACCUGCCCUGUAGAUUGGGAUAACUCCGGGAAACCGGGGCUAAUACCGAAUAAUCCAUUUCCUCACAUGGGGAGAUGUUAAAAGACGGUUUCGGCUGUCACUACAGGAUGGGCCCCCGGCGCAUUAGCUAGUUGGUGAGGUAACGGCUCACCAAGGCGACGAUGCGUAGCCGACCUGAGAGGGUGAUCGGCCACACUGGGACUGAGACACGGCCCAGACUCCUACGGGAGGCAGCAGUAGGGAAUCUUCCACAAUGGACGAAAGUCUGAUGGAGCAAUGCCGCGUGAGUGAAGAAGGUUUUCGGAUCGUAAAACUCUGUUGUGAGGGAAGAACAAGUACGAGAGUAACUGCUCGUACCUUGACGGUACCUCAUUAGAAAGCCACGGCUAACUACGUGCCAGCAGCCGCGGUAAUACGUAGGUGGCAAGCGUUGUCCGGAAUUAUUGGGCGUAAAGCGCGCGCAGGCGGUCCUUUAAGUCUGAUGUGAAAUCCCACGGCUCAACCGUGGAAGGUCAUUGGAAACUGGGGGACUUGAGUACAGAAGAGGAAAGCGGAAUUCCAAGUGUAGCGGUGAAAUGCGUAGAGAUUUGGAGGAACACCAGUGGCG